GACGAACGCUGGCGGCGUGCUUAACACAUGCAAGUCGAACGGAAAGGCCUGCUUUCCCUUGUGGAUUGCGGGUACUCGAGUGGCGAACGGGUGAGUAACACGUGAGUGAUCUGCCCCCAACUUGGGUAUAAGCCUGGGAAACUGGGUCUAAUUCCCGAUAGGACUGCAGGGUGGUGCCUGUGGUGGAAAACGAUUUUCUAGUGGUUGGGGAUGAGCUCGCGGCCUAUCAGCUUGUUGGUGGGGUAAUGGCCUACCAAGGCGGCGACGGGUAGCCGGCCUGAGAGGGUGGACGGCCACAUUGGGACUGAGAUACGGCCCAGACUCCGACGGGAGGCAGCAGUGGGGAAUAUUGCACGAUGGGCGGAAGCCUGAUGCAGCGACGCCGCGUGGGGGAUGACGGGCUUCGGGUGGUAAACUCCUUUCGACCGCGAGGAAGCCACCUGGUUGGAAGGGUGGUGACGGUAGUGGUAGAAGAAGCACCGGCUAACUACGUG
rnacentral:rRNA from 1 species